rnacentral:rRNA from 1 species
GUGGGGAAUUUUCCGCAAUGGGCGAAAGCCUGACGGAGUGACGCCGCGUGGGGGACGAAGGCCUUCGGGUUGUAAACCCCUGUCAGAGGGAAAGAAGGAGAGCGGGGUAAAUAGCCCCGUUGUUUGACGGUACCUUCAGAGGAAGCCCCGGCCAACUCUGUGCCAGCAGCCGCGGUAAGACAGAGGGGGCAAGCGUUGCUCGGAAUCACUGGGCGUAAAGGGCGCGUAGGCGGGGGGGCAAGGCGGUCGUGAAAUCCUCGGGCUCAACUCGAGGGGGUCGGCCGCGACUGCCGUUCUUGAGGGAGGCAGAGGAGUCUGGAAUUCCCGGUGUAGCGGUGAAAUGUGUAGAGAUCGGGAGGAACACCGGUGGCGAAGGCGGGACUCUGGGCCUUACCUGACGCUGAGGCGCGAAAGCGUGGGGAGCAAACGGGAUUAGAUACCCCGGUAGUCC